UACGUAGGGUGCAAGCGUUAAUCGGAAUUACUGGGCGCAAAGCGUGCGCAGGCGGUUUUGUAAGACUGUCGUGAAAUCCCCGGGCUUAACCUGGGAAUGGCGAUGGUGACUGCAAGGCUAGAGUUUGGCAGAGGGGGGUAGAAUUCCACGUGUAGCAGUGAAAUGCGUAGAUAUGUGGAGGAACACCGAUGGCGAAGGCAGCCCCCUGGGUCAAAACUGACGCUCAUGCACGAAAGCGUGGGGAGCAAACAGG
rnacentral:rRNA from 1 species